rnacentral:rRNA from 1 species
GACGAAUGCUGGCGGCGUGCCUAAUACAUGCAAGUAGAACGCAGUUGCGAACGGGUGAGUAACGCGUAGGUAACUGCCUGGUAGCGGGGGAGAACUAUUGGAAACGAUAGCUAAUACCGCAUACUACCAGAUGGACCUGCGUUGUAUUAGCUAGUUGGUGAGGUAACGGCUCACCAAGGAAACGAUACAUAGCCGACCUGAGGGGGUGAUCGGACAGACUGUGACUGAGACACGGCCCAGACUCCUACUGGAGGCAGAAGUAGGGAAUCUUCGGCAAUGGGAGGAACCCUGACCGUGCAACGCCGCGUGAGAGAAGAAGGUGUUCUGAUCGUAAAGCUCUGUUGUUAAGGAAGCGGUACUGUACCAGAAAGGGACUGCUAACUACGUGCCCGCAGCCUCGGUAAUUC